rnacentral:rRNA from 1 species
CCUACGGGAGGCAGCAGUGAGGAAUAUUGGUCAAUGGACGCAAGUCUGAACCAGCCAUGCCGCGUGCAGGAAGACGGCUCUAUGAGUUGUAAACUGCUUUUGUACGAGGGUAAACGCAGAUACGCGUAUCUGUCUGAAAGUAUCGUACGAUUAAGGAUCGGCUAACUCCGUGCCAGCAGCCGCGGUAAUACGGAGGAUUCAAGCGUUAUCCGGAUUUAUUGGGUUUAAAGGGUGCGUAGGCGGUCGGAUAAGUUAGAGGUGAAAUCCCGAGGCUCAACUUCGGAAUUGCCUCUGAUACUGUUCGGCGAGAGAGUAGUUGCGGUAGGCGGAAUGUAUGGUGUAGCGGUGAAAUGCUUAGAGAUCAUACAGAACACCGAUUGCGAAGGCAGCUUACCAAGCUACUUCUGACGUUGAGGCACGAAAGCGUGGGGAGCAAACAGGAUUAGAUACCCGUGUAGUC